CAGUGCUGUGGGUCUCAGGAGGCAGAGUUCUGGGCACAUCCACCAUGGCCUGGGCCCUUCUGCUGCUCCCCGUCCUCACUCUCUGUACAGGUGC
rnacentral:pre_miRNA from 1 species